rnacentral:rRNA from 1 species
GACGAACGCUGGCGGCGGGCUUAACACAUGCAAGUCGAACGGAAAGGCCCUGCUUUUGUGGUGUGCUCGAGUGGCGAUCGGGUGAGUAACACGUGAGUAACCUGCCCUUCACUUUGGGAUAACUUCAGGAAACUAGGGCUAAUACCGGAUAGGAGCUCCUGCUGCAUGGUGGGGGUUGGAAAGUCUAGGCGGUUGGGGAUGGACUAGCGGCUGAUCAGCUUGUUGGUGGGGUAGUGGCUUACCAAGGCUUUGACGGGUAGCCGGCCUGGGAGGGUGACCGGGGACAAUGGGCCUGAGAGAGGGCCCAGACUCGUACGUGAGGCAGCAGUGGGGAAUAUUGCACAAUGGGCGCAAGCCUGUUGCAGCAACGCCGCGUGUGGGAUGACGGCCUUCUGGGUGUGAACCGCUGCCGGCUAUGACGAAGCGGGAGUGACGGUAACGGGUAAAGAAGCACCGGCUAACUACGUG